AAUUGCGGUGAUCUGCAGCUCUGGUCGCCUCCAGCAGCACCACAUAAUCAAAGUUCCAAACAGUUGUGUUGGACUGCUGCCUCCAGCCAACCAUAACAUAAUCAUUGGAUGUGCUUCUUAUGUAGAAGAUUUGAGUGAUCUAUGUGUUUAUUUCAGAAAACAUUUUCUUAAUGAAGAUUUAUAUUAUAUAGAUAUUCCUGUACAUUAGCUUUAGUUUUUUUGCUAACUAGAAAGUGGUUUCCUUUUUCUUACACCAACUCACUAAAGCAUUGGGUUCAUUUGGGGUUCCUAGAUAGCUAAUUUUAGGAGCACACAAGAUUUAGACUCCUGCUAUGUAAUUAAAGGAAAUCAUGAUAUUGACUAAUAUCCUCUGUAUAUUUACUAACCCUGGAUCAGAGACAUUUAAAUUUAAAUUAUAAUUUGGAAAGUUUAUUUAUAGGAAUGAUACAUAGUAUGUAUAAAUGCAUUUAUGAAAAUAAAUUUAUUUCAGCCACAUGUAAGCCAACACAGUAUCACAUGUAAUAUUUCUCAAUUAGUUAAAAGUAUGCUUCUUUUAAAACUGGUGGUUUUAUUUUUUAUUACAUAAAAAUGUUAUAGUUAUGCAUGGCAAACUAAAAUUGUUGUGCAGACACACUGGUUGAUGACUAGUCUAACUAACUCAGGGAUAAAUUCAUUGAGUAAGAUGUAAAGUUGCCAAGAUAGUAACUAGGGCACAUAGAACGGGACGAAUAUAGAUUCUCUUGUUUUAUUAAGUAGAAUGGAACUUGGUGAAGCUUUAUUUGUGUUGCGCUGUUCUAGAGAUGCAUAAGACACAUGUAACCUUUUUCCCUUGGCAUUGCAGCUGCAUGCACCAACUUGAUGUAGGGCGACACGAUGGAAGAUUGAAAAGAUAUAUGGAUGAUUAUAUGGGUGCGUAACAAGUAUACUACAAUGAUGAUGAUGAUAAUGACGACGAUGAUAUUCUGGUUCAUGAUGAUGAUGAUGAUGGAUGCUUUCAAUUUUAGUUAAGUUGUGGGAUGUUCCUGUUGGAUGAUGUUCCUCAGUUAGUUUUAGUCAAGUUGUAGGGAUAUUGAUGGAUGAUUUUAGUUUAGAUUUUGCUGUCAAGAAAAUUUUAGAUUGUGCAUCACAUUUGGAUGAUGUUCCUCCUGUAAUAUCCAUUGUUGUAAUCCAACAGUUUUAUCCGAUAUAUGAUUUCUUCCUCUUGUGAGUA